UACGUAGGUGACAGGCGUUGUCCGGAUUUAUUGGGCGUAAAGCGAGCGCAGGCGGUCUCUUAAGUCUGAUGUGAAAGCCCACAGCUCAACCGUGGAGGGUCAUUGGAAACUGGGAGACUUGGGUGUAGGAGAGGAAAGUGGAAUUCCACGUGUAGCGGUGAAAUGCGUAGAUAUAUGGAGGAACACCAGUGGCGAAGGCGACUUUCUGGUCUGUAAUUGACGCUGAGGCUCGAAAGCGUGGGGAGCGAACAGG
rnacentral:misc_RNA from 1 species